ensembl:lncRNA
UUUUAUUUUCAAAAAUGAGCGUGAACGACAACAUUGCGUCAGUGGUCAGGUGGUGGCUCUCAGAGUGAUUUGUGCGUAAUAGACAAAGGCGGCCAUUGUUCCCCUCGCUCCUACUUAAAAGCCAAAUGUCUCGGUUGAUAUAUUAUCGAAGAGAUAUUUGAAAAACUCCUUGAGGAUUGAUUAUAAACCACUUUCGCCAUGUUUCUGUUGAUAUUAUGGAUCUAAUUUGGAGUUUUUUUCAGCGCAAUUUCUGGUGGAUUUAUAAACAAAACGUGGACAAGAAACGGAGGUAUUCCUUUUUCUACGUAGUCCCCAAGGUGUCUACAGCAUUAUGACGUAGUUUCACGCCUUUAUGUUGAAGAAUGAGCGUAAGCGACUACAUUGCGUAAGUGUCCGGCUGAGGGCUCUCAGAGUAAUUCUUGCGUAAUAGACAGAGGUAGCUAUUUUUCCUCCCGGGCUUACUGAAAAUACAGCUGUCCCGGUGGAUAUAUUGUCGAAUAGAUAUUAGAAAAACACCUUGAGGGUUGAUUAUAAACAACGUUUGCCAUGUUUCUGUCAAUAUUAUGGAGCUAAUUUGGAAUAUUUUUCGGCAUUGUCGUGACCGCAAUUUCCGGUCGAAUUCUCAGCCAAACGUGAAGAACUAACAGAGUUAUUUCGGCUACAAAAUAAUAUUUUGGGAAAAAAGGAACAUUUGCUAUCAAACUGGGAGUCUCGUGAGUGAAAACAUCCAAAGCUCUUCAAAGUCUUAAGCUAUAACUCUCUUAGGAACCAUAAGGAGAGAGUGGAGAAACAAAAAAGCGCUCCAGCUGACAUGGAACAAGACAGCAGAUUCAGCUAGAAUGACAUUUUAUUGUGUGAUGAGAGAUGGAAAUAAAAUUGUGUAUGAUGUGAUUAUAGAACAGAGGCCAUAAGUCUCUGAGUUUGUAAACCUCACGGUGAAUGUUUGUUAUCAUUGUUAGUUCCAUUUGUUAGUUUUUAAAUUCAUGUUUUAUGAUCGUUCGUCCAUUAAUUAGUAAUUUCCAAGUUUAUAUAUUAUAUAUUUAUAUUUAUAUAUAUUGAACAUUAGGAUGCUAUUGUUCAAGAGGGACUGUUGGAUUUGAAAUGUUGAAAAUUGAGAUAUUAAAGACAUGAUAGAUCAGACACAUAGUAUAUAAAGGAGUGAGAUCUGUAAGACAGAGUGGCUGUGGAAUGUGCUGGGUGGAUGGGAGGAGAUCAAAGGAUUGCUAUAGGGGAAGCAGAUGAACAUCUUUGGAUUAGGCGAAGGAGGGGUUGAGGUCAGGUCAGAUCCCAUGAAGGGAGUAAUAAGGGUUUACUACCCACUCCCUGUUUAAAACCGUAAGAUGUUAGGAUUGGAGAGAAGGAGGAGUGUCUUAAGUGGGAUAUUUAUACCUGUGAUGGUGAGAAAUGUCUGGUUGUCUGAAUUACAGCUACAACCCUUUGGGAAGAAUUAAACUUGGUUAAGCUUCUCUAGUGUCCGUGAGUUAUUUCCUCU